GACGAACGCUGGCGGCGUGCUUAACACAUGCAAGUCGAACGGAAAGGCCCUGCUUUUGUGGGGUGCUCGAGUGGCGAACGGGGGAGUAACACGUGAGUAACCUGCCCUUGACUUUGGGAUAACUUCAGGAAACUGGGGCUAAUACCGGAUAGGAGCUCCUGCUGCAGGGUGGGGGUGGGAAAGUUUCGGCGGUUGGGGAUGGACUCGCGGCUUAUCAGCUUGUUGGGGGGGUAGUGGCUUACCAAGGCUUUGACGGGUAGCCGGCCUGAGAGGGUGACCGGCCACAUUGGGACUGAGAUACGGCCCAGACUCCUACGGGAGGCAGCAGUGGGGAAUAUUGCACAAUGGGCGGAAGCCUGAUGCAGCAACGCCGCGUGCGGGAUGACGGCCUUCGGGUUGUAAACCGCUUUCGCCUGUGACGAAGCGUGAGUGACGGUAAUGGGUAAAGAAGCACCGGCUAACUACGUG
rnacentral:rRNA from 1 species